rnacentral:rRNA from 1 species
GGUUAAGCGACUAAGCGUACACGGUGGAAGCCCUGGCAGUCAGAGGCGAUGAAGGACGUGCUAAUCUGAGAAAAGCGUCGGUAAGGUGAUAUGAACCGUUAUAACCGGCGAUGUCCGAAAGGGGAAACCCAGAGCAAUUCGUUGCACUAUCGUUAACUGAAAACAUAGGUUAACGAGGCGAACCCGGGGAACUGAAACAUCUAAGUACCCCGAGGACA